rnacentral:ncRNA from 1 species
UAAAGCAUGAACCGGUGUUCGUUCCCAGCGUCAAGCACAACUCUUCAUCCACCAUCGUCCACGAUGAGAUGAGAAGUAUUGUUGACACAUCCUGGGUUCGUUCUGAGAUCAUACGGUUAAGAUGAACUUGAUCUGGAUAAUACCAGCGAAAGGAUCAUGCACUCUCCCGUC